AGUAGCAUAAAAAUUUCUUAAUUAAAAAAAAGGAUGAUUUAGGGCUGGCAAUGCCAAAAGGUACAGAAACAAGAUAGGGAUGAAUACACAAAACCAUACAUAAAUCCCUACAUAAGUAGCCACUGAGCCAAUGUUA